UCCGUGUUAACCACGGCAGUCCCGCUAGAGUCCCCGGCAUGACCCGCUGGCAACUAACGGCAAGGGUUUCGCUCGUUAAGGGACUUAACCCGACAUCUCACGACACGAGCUGACGACAGCCAUGCAGCACCUGUGCACGUUCCACCCUUUCGGGCGUCGGCCCUGUUUCCAAGGCUUAAUCCGUGCAUGUCAAACCUAGGUAAGGUUUUGCGCGUUGCUUCGAAUUGAACCACAUGCUCCACCGCUUGUGUGAGCCCCCGUCAAUUCCUUUGAGUUUCGGCCUUGCGACUGUACUCCCCAGGCGGAGCACUUAAUACAUUAGCUCCAGGAGGGAAGGCAUCGGAGCCUCCCCUCCCUAGUGCUCAUCGUUUACGGCUUGGACUA
rnacentral:misc_RNA from 1 species